rnacentral:rRNA from 2 species
AUUGAACGCUGGCGGCAGGCCUAACACAUGCAAGUCGAGCGGUAACAGAAAGUAGCUUGCUACUUUGCUGACGAGCGGCGGACGGGUGAGUAAUGCUUGGGAACAUGCCUUGAGGUGGGGGACAACAGUUGGAAACGACUGCUAAUACCGCAUAAUGUCUACGGACCAAAGGGGGCUUCGGCUCUCGCCUUUAGAUUGGCCCAAGUGGGAUUAGCUAGUUGGUGAGGUAAUGGCUCACCAAGGCGACGAUCCCUAGCUGGUUUGAGAGGAUGAUCAGCCACACUGGGACUGAGACACGGCCCAGACUCCUACGGGAGGCAGCAGUGGGGAAUAUUGCACAAUGGGCGCAAGCCUGAUGCAGCCAUGCCGCGUGUGUGAAGAAGGCCUUCGGGUUGUAAAGCACUUUCAGUCAGGAGGAAAGGUUAGUAGUUAAUACCUGCUAGCUGUGACGUUACUGACAGAAGAAGCACCGGCUAACUCCGUGCCAGCAGCCGCGGUAAUACGGAGGGUGCGAGCGUUAAUCGGAAUUACUGGGCGUAAAGCGUACGCAGGCGGUUUGUUAAGCGAGAUGUGAAAGCCCCGGGCUCAACCUGGGAACUGCAUUUCGAACUGGCAAACUAGAGUGUGAUAGAGGGUGGUAGAAUUUCAGGUGUAGCGGUGAAAUGCGUAGAGAUCUGAAGGAAUACCGAUGGCGAAGGCAGCCACCUGGGUCAACACUGACGCUCAUGUACGAAAGCGUGGGGAGCAAACGGGAUUAGAUACCCCGGUAGUCCACGCCGUAA